rnacentral:rRNA from 1 species
AUGGCUUCGGAUCACUGGCUCGGCGCCUGCUCCGAGCAGAAGGCGUCCUGCUUCAGGCGGGAUGCGUCCUGCUCUGCCUGCACCCGGACUGCCUGCUCCGCCUGCAUCCGGGCCGCCUCCUCCGACUGCAUCCGAGCCGCGGCUACCCUUGCCGCGGAGGAGACAGCUGCUCCACCACGUCUGAACCUUCCUGUGUCGUCGCCUCCCUCUCUCGCUGUCGGCGUCGCCGCAACUUGCGGGCGACGUUCUCCGCCUGGCAAGUCGCCGCCGCCGACACCAUGUCUCCCACAGACGAGGCGGACUGCGUCUUCGUCGCGACGGUGUGGGUCGGUGUCAGUGUCAAAACCGGCGGAUCUCAGGUAG